ACGAGUAACUGCAAUAAGAUUGAACAUGGAAACAAUUAAAGUUCUGACAGGAUGACCAAAUACACUUGUCAUUGCCUGCAUAUUUUCUGUUGAUAUUUAGUAAAAAAAACUGCUUAUUUCAACUACACAAAAUAAAAGAAGACGGAUGAAGAGGAAGAGGAAGAGGAAGAGGAAGUGGGACCAGGAAGACGAGGAGGGAGAAAGGAGAAAAAAAUUUCAACAAGGAGAAGAGAUUUCCAGAUGAAGAGUAAUUUGCAUCGCGAUCAAAGAAUGGUGCCCUUGUGCACGGGCUUUUGGAUCUUGCAAGGGAGUUGGGUAUAAAUUCGUUAUGGGCGGAAAGUGACUCUGCAACUGUGAUGGUUUUUGUUUCCUUCAAGGUUGUUCCUUCUUGAGUAUGCCAAGAUUGGUCAUCUCUUCAGUUGAACUUGGCAACCAUAGAGUGGAACCUAUCGUUUUCAAAAGGCAAACUCAAUUGCGGAUUAUCUCUCUAAACCAACUGCAAAAAGUAGUUUGUCUACUUCUUUGCAUGUUUUCCCUAUUCAAUGUUGUAGGAGCUUGCUAUCAAUGCUAUGAGUAGCCGGAGAUUUUGUUUUC